rnacentral:rRNA from 1 species
UGAUUUUUAAAGAGCCGCAAUAUAUUGAUUGUGCUAAGGUAGCAAAAUAAUUAGUUUAUUAAUUGUAAACUAGUAUGAAUGGUUGUACGUAUUCUAGUCUUUUUUAAUUUUUUUGUUAAAAUUUAUUUUUAAAGUGCAAAAACUUUAAUGUUAUUGAAAGAGGAUAAGACCCCAAGAAUUUUUUUUUUAUUUGAAUGUAUUUAAAUUUUAUUAUUUGUUUAUUUAAAUUAAAAUUAGUUGGGGUGACUUUUAAGUAAAAUAAAUCUUAAAUUAAAAAUACUAUGAUAGGUUUUAUUUGAUUAAUUUUUUUAUUUUAGAUAAAUUACCUUGGGGAUAACAGCGUUAUAAAUAUUAAUAGUAUAAAUUUAAAUAUUUGAUUGCGACCUCGAUGUUGGAUUAAGUUUUUUUUUUG